rnacentral:rRNA from 1 species
CAGUCGCCGCGGGAAUACGUAGGUGGCAAGCGUUGUCCGGAAUUAUUGGGCGUAAAGCGCGCGCAGGUGGUUUAAUAAGUCUGAUGUGAAAGCCCACGGCUCAACCGUGGAGGGUCAUUGGAAACUGUUAAACUUGAGUGCAGGAGAGGAGAGUGGAAUUCCACGUGUAGCGGUGAAAUGCGUAGAGAUGUGGCGGAACACCAGUAGCGAAGGCGACUCUCUGGUCUGUAACUGACGCUGAGGAGCGAAAGCGUGGGGAGCGAACAGGAUUAGAUACCCGCGUAGUCCCUGUCUCUUAUAC